GAGAGAGAGAGAGAGAGAGAGAGAGAGAGAGAGAGAGAGAGAGAGAGAGAGAGAGAGAGAGCUAAGCUACACUAAAAACAUAUUAAAUCGUAUAUGCAUGUCUUGGUUAAAAAGCGUCAGCCCUCCUAACUGUAAAUAUCUUCCUACGCUACUGUGUGACAGUUCUAGCAUGUUUUGCCUGUCGUGUUUUUACUUAGCUGAAAGCUAUAUACAGUGCCCAGUUUAUAGCUGCAUGAAAAUUACCCCCUCUCCUCAAGGGAAACCCGCUCCGCCACCAC